rnacentral:lncRNA from 1 species
CUACUUUUACUCGAAAGCCAUUGGCAGGCUCGCAGAGAAAUUGAUCUAGAUGACUAUUCUCGAGAAAAUUAUAGUGCUUGCCAAUUCUUUUCACUGAAACUUUGAUCUACUGUAGUUGAAUGAACAUGUAAUGACCAUGCAGGAACACUGACCAGCUGCUCCAUCAUCUGCAACUGAUUGUACGUAGCAAUCUGCACCGACAGUAGAAGUUAAUUAUACAAAAAAUUGGCAAUGGUUGAUUGAUGAAAUCGUCAUCCGAGUAAAUUCCUUCUUUACAAACUUUUCUGAACCAAUUCUAAUUACUGGUCAACCAUGACAACGAGGGAUGUAAUUCAUUUGAAUGCGACAUAGAAGAAAAGCUUUAAUCACCUGAUUAAAACAUCAGAAUACAGCAGUUUUGGCUCCCCUGUCCAAUCACCUUGAUGUGCAUAAGUAGAAAUGUCAAAGGAUUUUUCCAGCUGAAUUCAACUACUAAAGUAGCUCAUUUAUCUUCAUUAAUUUUGAUGGAUUAGACAAGAGAACAACCGCAGAUAUGCUCUGAAUCCCUAUGCUGGUAUAGACGUUUAUCAGUGCAAUUUGAUGAAGAAAUUCAAUGCUCCACUAAGGUCUACCACUAAUACACAAGAUUCAGAUGACAAGACACUUGGAUUAUCGAAAUCCAGUAGAGUCAAAUUAAACCACCAUGAGAAAAUAUAAGAGGUGAGAUUGAAGUAAAAAAAUGCUUGUCCUGCAUUUAUGAGUAUUUAGACAUGCCAUGAAGUUACCUUUCCUGAUAAUCAGGUCACUGAA